GACGAACGCUGGCGGCGUGCUUAACACAUGCAAGUCGAACGGAAAGGCCCUGCUUUUGUGGGGUGCUCGAGUGGCGAACGGGUGAGUAACACGUGAGUAACCUGCCCUUGACUUUGGGAUAACUUCAGGAAACUGGGGCUAAUACCGGAUAGGAGCUCCUGCUGCAUGGUGGGGGUUGGAAAGUUUCGGCGGUUGGGGAUGGACUCGCGGCUUAUCAGCUUGUUGGUGGGGUAGUGGCUUACCAAGGCUUUGACGGGUAGCCGGCCUGAGAGGGUGACCGGCCACAUUGGGAUUGAGACACGGCCCAGACUCCUACGGGAGGCAGCAGUGGGGAAUAUUGCACAAUGGGCGGAAGCCUGAUGCAGCAACGCCGCGUGCGGGAUGACGGCCUUCGGGUUGUAAACCGCUUUCGCCUGUGACGAAGCGUGAGUGACGGUAAUGGGUAAAGAAGCACCGGCUAACUACGUG
rnacentral:rRNA from 1 species